rnacentral:tRNA from 1 species
GCUAGUGUGCUCAGUGGUUAGAGCAUCAGACCACGCUCCAAAAGGUCAUGGGUUUGAUUUCCCGUCAAUAGCA